rnacentral:rRNA from 1 species
UACGGAGGGGGCUAGCGUUGUUCGGAAUUACUGGGCGUAAAGCGCACGUAGGCGGCUUUGUAAGUUAGAGGUGAAAGCCCGGGGCUCAACUCCGGAAUUGCCUUUAAGACUGCAUCGCUAGAACGUCGGAGAGGUAAGUGGAAUUCCGAGUGUAGAGGUGAAAUUCGUAGAUAUUCGGAAGAACACCAGUGGCGAAGGCGACUUACCGGACGACUGUUGACGCUGAGGUGCGAAAGCGUGGGGAGCAAACAGG